ACUUGAUAAAGUUAAAAGAGAUUUAGAAAUUUCAAGAAAAAGAAGUAGUGAUGAAAAAGAUAUUGAUGUUUGCCGCCCAGCCCAAAUAUUUCCCCAACCCAAAUGAUUUCCCCAGCCCAAAAAGUGAAUUUCUAACCCUAAGUCUUUCACACUCUCUUUUCCUAACCCUAUGUCUUUCACACUCUCUCAUUCUCCUAACCUAAUUUUUUAGCGCCUCUCACUCUAUCUCUUUCUCUAAGAGUGAAAUCUCUCAGUCUUUCACUCUCUCUCUCUCUCUCACAACCUUCUUCUUCGGUGCUUUUCUUCAAUAUUUGGUGUUCUUCGUCUCGCAACGUCUCGCAAAGUCGCAAAUUUGUCUCGAUUCUUCAACAUUUGCUCUUCUUUGUCUCGCAAAGUUUCGCUCUUCUUUGUCUCGCAAAGUUUCGCAAUUUCGUCUCCAUUAGCGCAAUAUUAGAAUACAUGUUGCUCUUCUUCUACAUCAGCAAAUUGAGCUCUCAUCAGAGAUUCAGAGGCAGAGGAGGAGAUUGACUCCACUCCUACAAAUGCUGUGAAACCAAAAAAAAAAAGGAGAAAGUUGAUCUUAAUAAGC